ensembl:lncRNA
UUCUGUUUGAGAACUAACAGAAUGUUAAGCGGAAUAAAUACUCCAGACGUUUUGAAUCAGAAUCAAGUCGGUAAAUCGAGGAGCUUAUUUACUUAUUCAUAGAAUACAGCCUACACAGCGUUGACAUAAAUAUACAAUGAUGAGCAUAUAAUGGGAAAUAAACAUGGGAACAAGUGUCAGAAUAGUGUAUUAUCACAACAGUUUACAGCAUGACACAUUUCUAAUAGUGCUAACAUUAAACAAUGAAACAUUUAAUACGAACCCAGCCAAGUGCACUGCGUCGUCAGUACGCCUAAGUAGCAUAGAACCCUCUAUUAUUGGCAUAAUCAACAACUGUUCUGAAACAAUGUUUAGCUAUAAGGGGUGGCCGAUAACAGGGAGAGAACGUGGUAUGUGAGCAGGAGUACAGAUCUCUAGGUAGGACAAUCCCUUACUAAAACAGAACUAAACUGCGAAUUGUCCAUUGGAGACUGACAAAACAUGUUUCAUUAGGUAGCUAGCUUCAGCAAGUAAGCAAUUGUGAACCGGUUGAGAACGAGCGAAGUGUUGAGACACACGAUCCCAUCCUGAUGUAACAUUCGCUGUUGGAGAAAUCUUUUUCCAGGUGUUUUUAACUUCAGUGAGAACAAGUAGGGAUACCAAAAAUCAUCUGGGAAAUUACUGACUUCACACGUUUCUUUUUGUAAAGAAAGUUUAUUUGUAAAGAAAGUGUAUUUGAUAAGCAGGUCUUAGACAAAACCAUACAGAUGGAGAGAGAUCUGUGUUUCUGUGCCACUAAAAAAUUAUUUUCCAGCAUGGGAAGCACCAAUGAGGCCAUCUCCUUCCAGGUUGAUGUAGUUACUUUCUGUAUUCCUAUAGGCUGACACCUCCUGAUGGCAGUUGUGAUCACACAACCAUACUGGACAUCAGAAGCAAUCCGCCAAUCAAGAUGCAAGCCCAUCCCUGUCAACUAAAUUAAAAUGGUCAAUGCAGUCACUGGCAACUUCAAUUUAAAACACCUUUUCCCACAGUCCUCCAACCAUCUCUAUGGACAGAGCACUAGCAGCAAACAUCCACCCAUGCCAGGGGGUGGAACCUUCCAUUACAGCUACCAGGCCGACCAAUCAGAGGCACUGUGGCCACAAUACGCAUAAUCAAAACAAAAGCAUGUUUAUUGUAUCCCUUUGCCCUCCCAUACCCCCUGCACAGGGGGGUCAGGGACCAGGGGUCUGUUUAGGGACCCCAGAUACAGAGCCAUAUACUCAGCACAUAUGUCCCUGCUUGAAUAAUGAUGAAUGUAUGACACCAACAGUGUUUAGAGGGCAAGAAGGGGCCCAGAUGAUAUCUCUAACCCACUGUGGAUGCUCUCCUAUGGAGUUUAAUACAAACUGUCAGUUAACACCUGUAGAGUCCAUCAGGUUCCAGAGCCUUCUUCCCCCUCUAAAAUACAGACUCAGCACCCCAGAAGCAGGCAGACAGGAGCACACAGAGAUACAGAGACACAAACAGCCACAGCUUCAACCUCAUCCACGGCCCACCAGAAGACCUCAUCCAAGGUCCACCAUGGAGGAGAUGGGGACGUCAGUGCAUGAGACAAAUCAACAAAUAAUCUUAAAUUUUAAAAAACAACCAUAAAAAAUUAAAACAAAAUCCCCUGCGAGCUAACAGAAGAGGAACAUGCAAAAUGGCUUUUCAGUUAAACACUUUAAAAAGGGGUGGUUAAAACAUAAAAUACCAUCUCCACCCAUGACACCCUAUUUAGUGCAUUACUUAGAGUGGAUAAUACAAGGAUUAGGGUGCCAUUGGGGACAGAGUCUUUGUGGGACUCAGAUUAUGUCACCAUCUGGGGGGGGGGGUUCAUGGCAGGGUUCCAAAAGGGCGUGUCCUAGGUUCCGGCCGGUAGACUAGAGGUUCUCAAGGGGGGAAGAGUAGAACCCAAAUGUGUGGGGUUGGUACUGCGCCUCUCUCUCUCCUCAGUCCACAGGGUUUCUCCUCACACCAGGGCGGCACAGUGCUCUGCUGCCCAUGGAGCCUGGAACAUGCCGAAGAAACACAAUGUUAUGGAACAUCUUGAAUAACAGGCACCAAACAGGAACAUCAUGUUAUACUGUUAACAGCUAGUGAAGCAUUUUUCCCCUUCUUGGUUCCUUUUAUAUUUUUACAAAUUUACAGUGCCCUCCAAAACUAUUGGCACCACUAGUAAAGAUGAGUAAAAAGGAGUUAUACCAUUUUUUAUCUUUUGGUGAAUUAUCUUAAUGUCACACUGAAAAAAAAAAGAGAAAUAUCCAACCUUUAAUGGAAGUACAUUUAUACAGAGGAGAAAACCUGUCGCCAAGAAAUAAUUAUUUCUAACAAAAGCAUGUGUGCCACAAUUAUUUACUAAUGAACAAAAUGUAACAAAUUGUACGUUAAGUUGAUUAGAGUGUUGAGGAACUGUCAAGUAAUCAUCCAUGACUUCCUGUUUCACAGGGGUAUAAAUAUGAGGUGACACAGAGGCCAUAUUCCAUUAUUCAUACAUCAACAUGGGAAAGAUAAGAGAACACACAAAUGAAAUGAAGGAAAAGUGUGUUGAGCUUCAUAAGUCAGGGAAUGGCUAUAAAAAAUAGCUACUAAUCUGAAAAUGCCUGUAUCUACCGUUAGGGCAAUACUAAACAAGUUCAGAGCAACUGGAACUGUUACAAACUUGCCUGGCAAAGGACCCAAAUGUAUUUUGCCCCUGUCAUUACACCACAAAUGUAACCACCUCCACCAUACUUCCUGUCAUUACACCUUAAAUUGAAGCACCUCCACCAUACUUCCUGUCAUUACACUGUAAAUGCAAG